ACUAGCAUGAAUGGCUAAAUGAGGACUUAACUGUCUCUUACAGCCCGCCAAUGAAACUGAUUUCCCAGUACAAAAGCUGGAAUAAACACAUAAGACGAGAAGACCCUGUGGAGCUUCAAAUCAAAUCCACCAAUCAUGGUUCUAGAUUUUUAGUUGGGGCGACUUUGGAGCAUAAAAAACCCUCCAAACAUGUAUUAUUUAAUUUUAUCAAGACUAACAUACCAAAACACAACAAAAGACCCAGCAACACUCAAGUGCUGUCUGAGAGAUGAACCAAGUUACCCCAGGGAUAACAGCGCCAUCCCCUUCUAGAGUCCUUAUCGACAAGGGGGUUUACGACCUCGAUGUUGGAUCAGGACACCCCAAUGGUGCAGACGCCAUUAAAG
rnacentral:rRNA from 1 species